UCUCCGUUGGUGAACCAGCGGAGGGAUCAUUACAGGACUCGCAAGACUCCUACAACCCUGUGAACUUAACUAUAAGCACGUUGCUUCGGCGGGUGUCUCGGAGAGGGUUCUCCCUCCCCGGGGCGCUAAGUCCGCCGGCAGCCUACUAUACUCUGUCUCUUUGCGUUGGCAUCUCGAGUACAAUCAAACAAGUUAAAACUUUCAACAACGGAUCUCUUGGUUCUG
rnacentral:misc_RNA from 1 species